CUCUUGCUUUUAGUUUCUCUCAAAUCUUCUGUUCUUAGUUUUGGUAAAAUAUUCACUGCAGAUUCUGGUUUUUCAUUUUUUGGGGGAUUGUUUGGGUUCUCUGUUUCCAAAGGGGUUCUGCAUCGCUGUAAACCUUUGAUUUGUCGUUGUUUUGCGAAAUCUUAUAAAAUUUGUAUCAAACGUUUUUUUUUUCUUUCUAAUUUUGCGAUCGCUAACACGAGAGUUUCAGAGUGUUUUCCUCUUUUUCCAUCGCGAUUCUGGGUUUUUGGCCGACCUUCUGACAAAUUUUUAGUGUAAUCUGGGCACAGCCUACCUUCAGAUCAUUGUUCAAACAAGUUUUAUUCAACUCAGGUUGGUUUUCUAACACCUGUGAGUGAGUUGUUUGGUUUUGCGGUGAGUUGUGCCAGGUUAUCCAGGCUUUGCCUGCUAAAAGCGGAUUUUGUGUUUGGUUUGGGUAUGAUUUCCCUCCACUGAGAUUUGAUAAGAGUUGGAAAGCUGUUGUUGGUUUGGGUUUGCUUUCCUUGCUUCCACUCCUUCGUAAUUGUGUAUGCAUUUCUUAUUUGAAUAAGUGUAUUUGUGUUUUUGUUUUUGAAGUUUCAUUUUGCAUGAUUUCAUUUUAAUGAAUGUGUCAAAUUUUAAGAAAGCAGGAGUGCUUUGAUGAAUUGUUUCUUGAUUUUGUGUGAUUUCAUUUAGAUGGAUAUCUUAAAAUUUGAGAAGGCAGAUGGGCUUUUAACAUUUGUUUUUCAUUGUUUAAGCAUCUAAUGUUAUCAUGUAAGGGACCAAGUUCUCCUGCAUUACUAUAAUUACAUAUAUAUAUUUUUUUUUGAGAAAUAUGAUAGUUCAUUGAUAUAAGGAGAAGCAGUACAAAGAACGACUAGGUUUUUUCUUCCCUUUACCUUUUUGUUGGCUUUUCUCUCUCGCCAAUCUGUGCUUCGAUCCAUCUUCAUUUUGUGUUCUGUUCUUCUAAAAUCUUGCAUUCCUCCCAAAUCCUUCGUGCUUUAUUUGGCAAAAUAUUCACAAAAUUGGCCUCCAAAUUUUCGUUCCAUAUUUUUGGUUUUUGGGGAGGUUGUGCGUUUGUGUAAAAGCUGGAUCUGCAGGUAAGAGUUCUACUUUGUACAAAGGUUAUAAACUACAGUUUGUGUUUGGAUGGCUGUGAUUCAUGUUACACGAUCUUGGUUUAUAUGUUUAGUCUAACAAGAAAAGACAUCCCCAAAUCAAACUCUAUGGUACUGAAAUCAGUUUCUUUUCUAUGAUGUUUAAACUUGGGUCGUUUCUUCUUCCUCCUAUUCCUUCUCAUUGAAUCUGGUUCUUCAGGUGUUGGUCUCUGUUAUCAUCGACGAUCCAAGAGUUGGGACCCGUGUUUUUUUCAUCACUUUUGCCUAUUCUUUUUCACUUUCAUUGUAUCACUUAAUUUUUAAGGUGUAUUGAUCUGGAAGGACAAAAACUUAACAUUUUUUGUUGAUGUGUAUUCUUUCAUUUUGAUUAAGAGAUAUAUCUUAAUAAUCAAUGUUAUCGCUAUGGGGUAAUUGUUUUGCUGUUAUAAAUUCUUGAAACUGUAAUUCCCUCUUUGUCGUGUUAAAACUAUAUAUUGUGAUUGCAGGUUUUUUAAAAAUUGCCCUUCGCAAAUUGUUCAAAAGAAAGCAAUUCUGCUAUUGAUCAGUAUAAAGACGCAAUAACAAAGCUCUCAAGUCCACUGCACUGUCCAACUUUUUUGCCCACUUCAGGUUUGAUUCGUUCAACGCUCUUGAUUGUUGUUUUCAAGCCAACUACUACAUUUUCCAACAAAUUUACAAGGAACAACCAAGCUGGAUUACAGCCAGAUUCCGUCAAAUUAUAUCACUAUUGGUAUUCCAGCUGCCCACCUUACAGAAAUUACAAGGUUUGCUCCACUCUAUACUUCUUUGAUACAUUUCAUUCAAAUUCGUAUAUUUCGGUAAGAAACAAACUUUUAUCUAUUACUUGAGUUAGGCAGAGUUGGAAAUAGAUUGAAUUAAGCAGAGUUGUAUACAUAAUCUUCUACAUGUUUUAUGUUGUUUAAAAACCCGCAGCAUCGCGCGAACACCGUUGUUAGUAAUGACUAAAGUAAGGUGUUAUAAAAUAAGUAGAUGUCGAAAUUAAAUAUGUCGCAGUCAAUAAUUUCUUCGUUUUAAGGUCAUUCCUUUUUGUAAAAAGAUGAGGGACGACUUGGACAAUUGACAGCUUAACCCAAAAUCCAAAUAUUGUUCUUUUAUUUA